UAGGAAAUCGCUAGCCUGUGAGUGCCA
rnacentral:piRNA from 1 species